rnacentral:rRNA from 1 species
GACGAACCGUGCGAACGUUGUUCGGAAUCACUGGGCUUAAAGAGCGCGUAGGCGGCCCGGUAAGUCCGCUGUGAAAGUCAAGGGCUCAACCCUUGAAUGCCGGUGGAUACUGUCGGGCUAGAGUCCGGAAGAGGCGAGUGGAAUUCCUGGUGUAGCGGUGGAAUGCGCAGAUAUCAGGAGGAACACCAAUAGCGAAGGCAGCUCGCUGGGACGUUACUGACACUGAGGCGCGAAAGCGUGGGGAGCGAACAGG